AGUAAUUUCUGUAGAUUAGUUGAUCCAUAGCUUAUUAGUGAUAAUAGCUGAAAUGCGUUUCUUAUAAUUGUUGGCAUACUCGUGUAGUUGUUAUUGUCGAUUGUUGUUGACUUCAAGCUGCAUCAAGUCUUUGUGAGUUAAUUUCAUUGUAGUCGAGAUGAUGUCAUCUUCAAUAUUUGCCCGACUCCUUCAUGUCUUUGACAACAAAUACUUUGGCUUCCUCCAGUCUUUCAAUGCAACCUAAUGUAGAUUUUGCACUCCAGGUGCCUUAAAUUUUCCCCAGCUAUACCUUAAAGAGAUUUGGAUUUUUUUGACAUGAGGUUGUAUGACAUCCCCAUCAGCAGCGUAGCGCAUCAACGUUGACUUUUCUCCCACUUAGUCCCCCGAGCCAAGUUCUGGUCUGGAAGAAAGUAGUUCCAGCCAGUUGAUGUGGACACAAAAGCGUUUUGCUUCUGAAAAUAAUAUCAAUUCAAAAGAGUAAUACAUUUGCAUCACAAAACCGUUUGACACAAAAAAGUCAGAUCUCCCAAUCGCUCUGCGUUAUUUUCUAUCUCUUCGUAUCACUGCGCUGUUGUGUAUGUGUUUCACAGUGUUUACACGGGCGGAGGACGACUGCUGCGAUGCGGUAGAGCUAAAGUGAGAGCACUGUCAGUAGGCCUGUCCCGAUAAUCAAUAAAUCAAUUAACCGAACGAUAAAUAAAAACAAACUUGGUAAUUUUGACGGCCUUGAUAUUUUGACAUGUGCAUGUGUGUUUGUUUUCCACUCUCUCUCUCCCAAACAGGCUGGAUGACAAAAGUCGCGUCCACUUUGUGCAGAAUUAGUACAUAGUAGCAUCCAGACGGGAACGCAUGAAUGAAAACGAUGCAAUACACAAGGUGCACCUACGUGUGGCGCUGUGAACAGGCACGCAGUCAGAACCACGUGACACGCCAAACCAUAGAAGAAGAAAAUUACUUAAGAGAAAGAAAGACACUUCGAUAAGUGGAAUUACUUCUGCGAGUCAUUAUGGAGUAUAAGACAACAAAAUAUCAGGAGAAUGUUGACUGAGAACGCCGUCCCGUGUGGAUGAGAGGCUGAAACGAUAAAAUACUUUGCCGUUUUGACCUGCCGUUUCCGUGUGGAUAACCCCUGAGUGUGCGCAAAGGAUGCGAUAAGAGAGGAAAGAGACAAGGAUGAGAAAGUUGUCCACCUGUUGGAGCAAGAUCAUCUUGCUCUCCUCCUCUGGUAUCAGCUGCCCUGGAAAAGACCUGUGUGUAAUGAAGAUGUUAAGCCUUGGCGCCUGUCAAGCCAUUUAUUCAUAUUUUACAAGUGUUUUAAUAGUGGGAUACUUUUUCACCUUUUAGUGAGUGGAGUGUU